GAUGAACGCUGGCGGCGUGCCUAAUACAUGCAAGUCGAGCGAACAGACGAGGAGCUUGCUCCUCUGACGUUAGCGGCGGACGGGUGAGUAACACGUGGAUAACCUACCUAUAUGACUGGGAUAACUUCGGGAAACCGGAGCUAAUACCGGAUAAUAUAUUGAACCGCAUGGUUCAAUAGUGAAAGACGGUUUUGCUGUCACUUCUAGAUGGAUCCGCGCCGCAUUAGCUAGUUGGUAAGGUAACGGCUUACCAAGGCAACGAUGCGUAGCCGACCUGAGAGGGUGAUCGGCCACACUGGAACUGGGACACGGUCCAGACUCCUACGGGAGGCAGCAGUAGGGAAUCUUCCGCAAUGGGCGAAAGCUUGACGGAGCAACGCCGCGUGAGUGAUGAAGGUCUUCGGAUCGUAAAACCCUGUUAUUAGGGAAGAACAAAUGUGUAAGUAACCAUGCACGUCUUGACGGUACCGAAUCAGAAAGCCACGGCUAACUACGUG
rnacentral:rRNA from 1 species